UAUAAAUAACACUGAUAUUGCUGCCGUCAAGGCUCAGAGUGCGCCGUACCUCGUAUAGAGCAGUAGGGUUUCUUUUUAUUUUUUGAUCAUCCUUGUUCUCAAAUGUUUAGAACAGAUGGUGGGUAUUCCAAGUACCCUUCAGUUCCUGGAAAAGAAGAAAGUCAAAUGCAAACCCUAAUUUCCCUUUCAGAUCACGACGCUUGACGUUGAAUCGAAUCCAUGAUUUACCAGAAAGAGAUCCCUUGUGUUUGUACUCGUCGAGAAUGAUAUUGCAACUAUUCAUUCUGCGUGCAUCAAGGAGACCGUGAUUCCAAAGUUUGAUCAUGCAGUGAAUGGUUUGAUGAGGGGAGGAGGGACCUCGAGUUCAAGCGAGGAUCUGCAUGUGUUUGAAGGAGGAGUGGUGGGGCUGCUACCAUUUACGCCUUCGAAGAGGCCGUAGCGGAGGAAGUUUACGGUGGAGCAGAAAGAGAGGAUGAGGGUGGAGGAUUCAGAAGCUGGCUGAGAAAAAAGUGGAGUGAUUUGGGCGGAGGUUUGGAAUUAAGAAGCAGGAGCUUGGCUAGGGUUUGGAUGCACAACAAGAGGUGAUAUUUGCGAAUGUGGAGGGAGAAGGAGCUGAUCAAGAUUAAGGGUAGUGACAAAGAGUUAAGAGGGUUAAUUAAGUGAGAUUUGUAAAAGUUCAUAAUGUGUAAUACCCUUUUAAUUAUGAAUAGUUUGAAAUUAUCGAAUCAAUGAUUUACCAAAUGGUUGUAACUUUUCAAUUAUGUAAUAAUAUAUCAGUUUUUUAUUUGGAAC